rnacentral:rRNA from 1 species
AUUGAACGCUGGCGGCAAGCCUAACACAUGCAAGUCGAACGAGUGGCGGACGGGUGAGUAAGUUCUGGGAAACUGCCUGAUGGAGGGGGAUAACUACUGGAAACGGUAGCUAAUACCGCAUACCAUCGGAUGUGCCCAGAUGGGAUUAGCUAGUAGGGGGGGUAAAGGCUCACCUAGGCGACGAUCCCUAGCUGGGCUGAGAGGAUGACCAUCCACACUGGAACUGAGACACGGUCCAGACUCCUACGGGAGGCAGCAGUGGGGAAUAUUGCACAAUGGGCGAAAGCCUGAUGCAGCCAUGCCGCGUGUAUGAAGAAGGCUUGCGGUUUGUAAAGUACUUUCAGCGGGGAGGCGUUACCCGCAGAAGAAGCAACGGCUAACUCCGUGCCAGCAGCCGCGGUAAUAC